GUGAGUAGUUCAGAGUUUGAUCCUGGCUCAGGACGAACGCUGGCGGCGUGCCUAACACAUGCAAGUCGAGCGGAGCCAACUAGAAGAUCCCUUCGGGGUGAUUCUGGGGAAGCUUAGCGGCGGACGGGUGAGUAACGCGUGAGUAACCUGCCCAUUAGUGGGGAAUAACACAGAGAAAUUUGUGCUAAUACCGCAUACGGAAUAGUUACCGCAUGGUAACAGUUUGAAAGAUUUAUCGCUAAUGGAUGGACUCGCGUCUGAUUAGAUAGUUGGUAGGGUAACGGCCUACCAAGUCGACGAUCAGUAGCCGAACUGAGAGGUUGAUCGGCCACAUUGAGACUGAGACACGGCCCAG
rnacentral:rRNA from 1 species